rnacentral:Y_RNA from 1 species
GGCUGGUCCAAAGGUAGUGAGAUCUCACAACGAUUGCUUACAGUCAAUUACUGGCCGACCUAUUUGUCUACCACCCCCACCCCCGGUCACUACUGCACUUGACUAGUCUUAA